AAAAACAUGUCUUUUUGUAAUAAUUUAAAGUCUAAUCUGCCCACUGAUAUUAUUAAAGGGCUGCAGUAUUUUGACUGUACAAAGGUAGCAUAAUCAUUUGUCUCUUAAUUGGUGACUUGUAUGAAAGAUUGAAUGAAAUAUGAACUGUCUCAAUUUAAUUUAUAAAAUUUAAUUUUUUAGUUAAAAAGCUAAAAUAAGUUUAAAAGACGAGAAGACCCUAUAGAGUUUUAUAAUUAUAUUAAUUAUAAUAAAAUAUAAAUUUUUUAAUUAAAAUUAAUAUAAUUAUUUUGUUGGGGUGACAAAAAAAUUAAAUUAACUUUUUUUAAAAAAUUUACAUUAAUUUAUGAUUUUAUGAUCCAUUUUUAGUGAUUAAAAGAAAAAAUUACCUUAGGGAUAACAGCGUAAUUUUUUUUUUUAGAUCAAAUAAAAAAAAAAGUUUGCGACCUCGAUGUUGGAUUAAGAUAAAAUUUAAAUGCAAAAGUUUAAAAUUUUUGAUCUGUUCGAUCAUUAAAAUCUUACAUGAUCUGA
rnacentral:rRNA from 1 species